UGGAAGGCUCUAGGGGAAUAAAGAUGGAAUGACUUCUAAUUUUUAGGUCCGUAUGAUUUGAAAUACUUGCACACAAACCACGCGAAAGCGUUCCUGGAAAUCUCAGCCCAAAAAAGGACGUUUAGUAAUUCUAAAAGGGACUACAGGAUGAAAAACAAUAGUUUUGGCAGUUAAAGUUUGAGAUUCGACAGUGCCGUAGAUCCGUUUGGUCAUCAGGUAUUACGAGCCACACCCAUGUCUAGCUAGAAUAGUGUGCUAGGCUCAGGCUAGAGAAGAAACGGGGAACAAACUGAUGAAAGAAUGAUCAAACCGAGGGAAUUCACUCAGAACUAACAAUAAUGAUAACGUGCUCCGACUGGUGCGGUUUAGGAACUGCUGGAAGGCUCUAGGGGAAUAAAGAUGGAAUGACUUCUAAUUUUUAGGUCCGUAUGAUUUGAAAUACUUGCACACAAACCGCGCGAAAGCGUUCCUGGAAAUCUCAGCCCAAAAAAGGACGUUUAGUAAUUUUAAAAGGGACUAUAGGAUGAAAAACAAUAGUUUUGGCAAUUAAAGUUUGAGAUUCGACGGUGUCGUAGAUCCGUUUGGUCAUCAGGUGUUACGAGCCACACCCAUGUCUAGCUAGAAUAGUAUGUCAGGCUCAGGUUAGAGUAGAAACGGGGAACAAACUGAUGAAAGAAUGAUCAUACCAAGGGAAUUCACUCAGAACUAUCAAGAAUGAUAACGUGCUCCGACUGGAGUGAUUUAGGAACUGCUGGAAGGCUCUAGGGGAAUAAAGAUGGAAUGACUUCUAAUUUUUACGUCCGUAUGAUUUGAAAUACUUGCACACAAAUCACGCAAAAGCGUUCCUGGAAAUCUCAGCCUAAAAAAGGACGUUUAGUAAUUCUAAAAGGGACUACAGGAUGAAAAACAAUAGUUUGGGCAGUUAAAAUUUGAGAUUCGACGGUGCCGUAGAUCCGUUUGGUCAUCAGGUGUUACGAGCGACACCCUUGUCUAGCUAGAAUAGUGUGUUAGGCUCAGACUAGAGAAGAAACGGGGAACAAAGUGAUGAAAGAAUGAUCAUACCGAGGGAAUUCACUCAGAACUAACAAGAAUGAUAACGUGCUCCGACUGGAGCGGUUUAGUAACUGCUGGAAGGCUCUAGGGGAAUGAAGAUGGAAUGACUUCUAAUUUUUAGGUCCGUAUGAUUUGAAAUACAUGCACACAAACCCUGAGAAAGCGUUCCUGGAAAUCUCGGUCGAAAAAAGGAUGUUUAAUAAUUCUAAAAGGGACUACCGGAUGAAAAACAAUAGUUUUGGCAGUUAAAGUUUGUGAUUCGAUGGUGCCGUAGAUCUGUUUGGUCAUCAGGUGUUACGAGCCACACCCAUGUCUAUCUAGAAUAGUGUGUUAGGCUCAGGCUAGAGCAGAAACGGGGAACAGACUUAUGAAAGAAUGAUCAUACCGAGGGAAUUCACUCAGAACUAACAAGAAUGAUAACGUGCUCCGACUGGCGCGGUUUAGGAACUGCUGGAAGGCUCUAGGGGAAUAAAGAUGGAAAGACUUCUAAUUUUUAGGUCCGUAUGAUUUGAAAUACUUGCACACAAACCGCACGAAAGCGUUCCUGGAAAUCUCAGCCUAAAAAGGAUGUUUAGUAAUUCUAAAAGGGACUACAAGAUGAAAAAUAAUAGUUUGGGCAGUUAAAAUUUGAGAUUCGACGAUGCCGUAGAUCCGUUUGGUCAUCAGGUGUUAUGAGCCACACCCAUGUCUAGCUAGAAUAGUGUGUUAGGCUCAGGCUAGAGAAGAAACGGGGAACAAACUGAUGAAAGAAUGAUCAUACCGAGGGAAUUCACUCAGAACUAACAAGAAUGAUAACGUGCUCCGACUGGAGCAGUUUAGAAACUGCUGGAAGGCUCUAAUGGAAUAAAGAUGGAAUGCCUUCAAAUUUCUAGGUCCGUAUGAUUUGAAAUACUUGCACACAAACCGCUCGAAAGCGUUCCUGGAAAUCUCAGCCCAAAAAAGGACGUUUAGUAAUUCUAAAAGGGACUACAGGAUGAAAAACAAUAGUUUUGGCAGUUAAAGUUUGAGAUUCGAUGGUGCCGUAGAUCCGUUUGGUCAUCAGGUGUAACGAGCCACACACAUGUCUAGCUAGAGUAGUGUGCUAGGCUCAGACUAGAGAAGAAACGGGGAACAAAGUGAUGAAAGAAUGAUCAUACCGAGGGAAUUCACUCAGAACUUACAAGAAUGAUAACGUGCUCCGACUGGAGCGCUUUAGUAACUGCUGGAAGGCUCUAGGCGAAUAAAGAUGGAAUGACUUCUAAUUUUUAGGUCCGUAUGAUUUGAAAUACUUGCACACAAACCACGCAAAACCGUUCCUAGAAAUCUCGGUCGAAAAAAGGACGUUUAGUAAUUCUAAAAGGGACUACAGGAUGAAAAACAAUAGUUUUGGCAGUUAAAGUUUGAGAUUCGAUGGUGCCGUAGAUCCGUUUGGUCAUCAGGUGUUACGAGCCACACCCAUGUCUAGCUAGAGUAGUGUGCUAGGUUCAGACUAGAGAAGAAACGGGGAACAAAGUGAUUAAAGAAUGAUCAUACCGAGGGAAUUCACUCAGAACUAACAAGAAUGAUAACGUGCUCCGACUGGAGCGGUUUAGGAACUGCUGGAAGGCUCUAGGGGAAUAAAGAUGGAAUGACUUCUAAUUUUUACGUCCGUAUGAUUUGAAAUACAUGCACACAAACCACGCAAAAGCGUUCCUGGAAAUCUCAGCCUAAAAAAGGACGUUUAGUAAUUCUAAAAGGGACUACAGGAUGAAAAAUAAUAGUUUGGGCAGUUAAAAUUUGAGAUUCGACGCUGCCGUAGAUCCGUUUGGUCAUCAGGUCUUACGAGCCACACCCAUGUCUAGCUAGAAUAGUGUGUUAGGCUCAGGCUAGAGAAGAAACGGGGAACAAACUGAUGAAAGAAUGAUCAUACCGAGGGAAUUCACUCAGAACUAACAAGAAUGAUAACGUGCUCCGACUGGAGCAGUUUAGAAACUCCUGGAAGGCUCUAGGGGAAUAAAGAUGGAAUGACUUCAAAGUUUUAGGUCCGUAUGAUUUGAAAUACUUGCACACAAACCGCGUGAAAGCGUUCCUGGAAAUCUCAACCCAAAAAAGGGCGUUUAGUAAUUCUAAAAGGGACUACAGGAUGUAAAACAAUAGUUUUGGCAGUUAAAGUUUGAGAUUCGAUGGUGCCGUAGAUCCGUUUGGUCAUCAGGUGUAACGAGCCACACCCAUGUCUAGCUAGAGUAGUGUGCUAGGCUCAGACUAGAGAAGAAACGGGGAACAAAGUGAUGAAAGAAUGAUCAUACCGAGGGAAUUCACUCAUAACUAACAAGAAUGAUAACGUGCUCUGACUUGAGCGGUUUAGGAACUGCUGGAAGGCUAUAGGGGAAUAAAGAUGGAAUGACUUCAAAUUUUUAGGUCCGUAUGAUCUGAAAUACUUGCACACAAACCGCGAGAAAGCGUUCCUGGAAAUCUCAACCCAAAAAAGGACGUUUAGUAAUUCUAAAAGGGACUACAGGAUGAAAAACAAUAGUUCUGGCAGUUAUUGUUUGAGAUUCGAUAAUCUCGUAGAUCCGUUUGGUCAUCAGGUGUAACGAGCCACACCCAUGUCUAGCUAGAGUAGUGUGCUAGGCUCAGACUAGAGAAGAAACGGGGAACAAACUGAUGAAAGAAUGAUCAUACCGAGGGAAUUCACUUAGAACUAACAAGAAUGAUAACGUGCUCCGACUGGAGCGGUUUAGGAACUGCUGGAAGGCUCUAGGGGAAUAAAGAAGGAACGACUUCUAAUUUUUAGGUCCGUAUGAUUUGAAAUAUGUGCACACAAACCACGAGAAAGCGUUCCUAGAAAUCUCGGCCCAAAAGAGGACGUUUAGUAUUCUAAAAGGGACUACAGAAUGAAAAACAAUAGUUUUGGCAGUUAAAGUUUGAGAUUUGACGGUGCCGUAGAUCUGUUUGGUCAUCAGGGGUUACGAGCCACACCCAUGUCUAGCUAGAAUAGUGUGUUAGGCUCAGGCUAGAAAAGAAACGGGGAACAAAGUGAUGAAAGAAUGAUCAUACCGAGGGAAUUCACUCAGAACUAACAAGAAUGAUAACAUGCUCCGACUGGAGCGGUUUAGGAACUGCUGGAAGGCUCUAGGGGAAUAAAGAUGGAAUGACUUCUAAUUUUUAGGUCCGUAUGAUUUGAAAUACUUGCACACAAACCGCGCGAAAGCGUUCCUGGAAAUCUCAGCCCAAAAAAGGACGUUUAGUAAUUCUAAAAGGGACUACAGGAUGAAAAACAAUAGUUUUGGCAGUUAAAGUAUGAGAUUCAACGGUGCCGUAGAUCCGUUUGGUCAUUAGGUGUUACGAGCCACACCCAUGUCUAGCUAGAAUAGUGUGCUAGGCUCAGGCUAGAGAAGAAACGGGGAACAAACUGAUGAAAGAAUGAUCAAACCGAGGGAAUUCACUCAGAACUAACAAUAAUGAUAACGUGCUCCGACUGGAGCGGUUUAGGAACUGCUGGAAGUCUCUAGGGGAAUAAAGAUGGAAUGACUUCUAAUUUUUACGUUCGUAUGAUUUGAAAAACUUGCCCAUAAACCGCGCGAAAGUGUUCCUGGAAAUCUCAGCCCAAAAAAGGACGUUUAGUAAUUUUAAAAGGGACUACACGAUGAAAAACAAUAGUUUUGGCAGGUAAAGUUUGAGAUUCGACAGUGCCGUAGAUCCGUUUGGUCAUCAGGUGUUACGAGCCACACCCAUGUCUAGCUAGAAUAGUAUGUUACGCUCAGGUUAGAGAAGAAACGGGGAACAAACUGAUGAAAGAUGAUCAUACCAAGGGAAUUCACUCAGAACUAACAAGAAUGAUAACGUGCUCCGACUGGAGCGGUUUAGGAACUGCUGGAAGGCUCUAGGGGAAUAAAGAUGGAAUGACUUCUAAUUUUUACGUCUGUAUGAUUUGAAAUACUUGCACACAAACAACGCAAAAGCAUUCCUGGAAAUCUCAUCCUAAAAAAGGACGUUUAGUAAUUCUAAAAGGGACUACAGGAUGAAAAAUAAUAGUUUGGGAAGUUAAAAUUUGAGAUUCGAUAGUGCCGUAGAUCCGUUUGGUCAUCAGGUGUUAGGAGCCACACCCAUGUCUAGCUAGAAUAGUGUGUUAGGCUCAGGCUAGAGAAGAAACAGGGAACAAACUGAUGAAAGAAUGAUCAUACCGAGGGAAUUCACUCAGAACUAGCAAGAAUGAUAACGUGCUCCGACUGGAGCAGUUUUGAAACUGCUGGAAGGCUCUAGGGGAAUAAUGAUGGAAUGACUUCUAAGUUUUUGGUCCGUAUGAUUUGAAAUACGUGCACACAAACCCAGAGAAAGUGUUCUUGGAAAUCUCGGCCGAAAAAAGGAUGUUUAAUAAUUCUAAAAGGGACUACAGGAUGAAAAACAAUAGUUUUGGCAGUUAAAGUUUGUGAUUCGAUGGUGCUGUAGAUCUGUUUGGUCAUCAGGUGUUAUGAGCCACACCCAUGUCUAGCUAGAACAGUGUGUUAGGCUCAGGCUAGAGCAGAAACGGGGAACAAACUUAUGAAAGAAUGAUCAUACCGAGGGAAUUCACUCAGAACUAACAAGAAUGAUAACGUGCUCCGACUGGAGAGGUUUAGGAACUGCUGGAAGGCUCUAGGGGAAUAAAGAUGGAAUGACUUCAAAUUUUUAGGUCUGUAUGAUCUGAAAUACUUGCACACAAACCGCGAGAAAGCGUUCCUGGAAAUCUCAGCCCAAAAAAGGACGUUUAGUGAUUCUAAAAGGGACUACGGGAUAAAAAACAAUAGUUUUGGCAGUUAAAGUUUGAGAUUCGAUAAUGCCGUAGAUCCGUUUGGUCAUCAGGUGUAACGAGCCACACCCAUGUCUAGCUAGAGUAGUGUGCUAGGCUCAUACUAGAGAAGAAAUGGGGAACAAACUGAUGAAAGAAUGAUCAUACCGAGGGAGUUCACUCAAAACUAACAUGAAUGAUAACGUGCUCCGACUGGAGCGGUUUAGGAACUGCUGGAAGGCUCUAGGGGAAUAAAGAUGGAAUGACUUCUAAUUUUUAGGUCCGUAUGAUUUGAAAUACAUGCACACAAACCCCAAGAAAGCGUUCCUGGAAAUCUCGCCCCGAAAAACGACGUUUAGUAAUUCUAAAAGGGACUAUAGGAUGAAAAACAAUAGUUUUGGCAGUUAAAGUUUGAGAUUUGACGGUGCCGUAGAUCUGUUUGGUCAUCAGGUGUUACGAGCCACACCCAUUUCUAGCUAGAAUAGUGUGUUAGGCUCAGGCUAGAAAAGAAACGGGGAACAAAGUGAUGAAAGAAUGAUCAUACCGAGGGAAUUCACUCAGAACUAACAAGAAUGAUAACAUGGUCCGACUGGAGCGGUUUAGGAACUGCUGGAAGGCUCUAGGGGAAUAAAGAUGGAAUGACUUCUAACUUUUAGGUCCGUAUGAUUUGAAUUACUUGCACACAAACCGCGCGAAAGCGUUCCUGGAAAUCUCAGCCCAAAAAAGGACGUUUAGUAAUUCUAAAAGGGACUACAGGAUGAAAAACAAUAGUUUUGGCAGUUAAAGUUUGAGAUUCGACGGUGCCGUAGAUCCGUUUGGUCAGCAGGUGUUACGAGCCACACCCAUGUCUAGCUAGAGUAGUGUGCUAGGUUCAGACUAGAGAAGAAAUGUUGGGGAACGUAGCAGAAAUUCAAAAUUUUCCUACGUGUCACCAAGAUCUAUCUAUGGAGAGACUAGCAACGAGGGAAGGAGAGUGCAUCUACAUACCCUUGUAGAUCGCUAAGCGGAAGCGUUCAAGUGAACGGGGUUGAUGGAGUCGUACUCGUCGUGAUUCAGCUCACCGAUGAUCCUAGUGCCGAACGGACGGCACCUCCGCGUUCAACACACGUACAGCUCGACGAUGUCUCCCACGCCUUGAUCCAGCAAGGAGAGAGGGAGAGGUUGAGGAAGACUCCAUCCAGCAGAAGCACAACGGCGUGGUGGUGAUGGAGGAGCAUGGCAAUCCUGCAGGGCUUCGCCAAGCACCUAUGGGAGAGGAGGAGGUGUCACGGGAGGGAGGGAGGCGCCAAGGGCUCAGGUAUAGAUGCCCUCCCUCCCCUCCACUAUAUAUAGGGGCAAGGGAGAGGGGGGAGGCGCAGCCUUGCCCCUUCCUCCAAGGAAGGGGUGCGGCUAAGAGGGGGGGAGGAGUCCAUCCUCCCCAAGGCACCUCGGAGGUGCCUUCCCCCUUUAGGACUCUCCCCUUUUUCCUAUAUCUUGGCGCAUGGGCCUCUAGGGGCUGGUUCCCUUGGCCCAUGUAGGCCCAGGCGCACCCCCUACAGCCCAUGUGGCCCCCCGGGGCAGGUGGCCCCACCUGGUGGGCCCCCGGGACCCUUCCGGUGGUCCCGGUACAAUACCGAUGACCCCGAAACUUGUCCCGAUGGCCGAAACAGGACUUCCUAUAUAUAAAUCUUUACCUCCGGACAAUUCCGGAACUCCUCGUGACGUCCGGGAUCUCAUCCGGGACUCCGAACAACAUUCGGUAACCACAUACAAACUUCCUUUAUAACCCUAGCGUCAUCGAACCUUAAGUGUGUAGACCCUACGGGUUCGGGAGACAUGUAGUCAUGACCGAGAUGUUCUCCGGUCAAUAACCAACAGCGGGAUCUGGAUACCCAUGUUGGCUCCCACAUGUUCCACGAUGAUCUCAUCGGAUGAACCACGAUGUCAAGGACUCAAUCAAUCCCGUAUACAAUUCCCUUUGUCUAGCGGUAUGGUACUUGCCCGAGAUUCGAUCGUCGGUAUACCGAUACCUUGUUCAAUCUCGUUACCGGCAAGUCUCUUUACUCAUUUCGUAACACAUCAUCCCGUGAUCAACCCCUUGGUCACAUUGUGCACAUUAUGAUGAUGUCCUACCGAGUGGGCCCAGAGAUACCUCUCCGUUUACACGGAGUGACAAAAUCCCAAUCUCGAUUCGUGCCAACCCAACAGACACUUUCAGAGAUACCCGUAGUGUACCUUUACAGCCACCCAGUUACGUUGUGACGUUUGGCACACCCAAAGCACUCCUACAGUAUCCGGGAGUUGCACAAUCUCAUGGUCUAAGGAAAUGAUACUUGACAUUAGAAAAGCUUUAGCAUACGAACUACAUGAUCUUGUGCUAGGCUUAGGAUUGGGUCUUGUCCAUCACAUCAUUCUCCUAAUGAUGUGAUCCCGUUAUCAACGACAUCCAAUGUCCAUGGUCAGGAAACCGUAACCAUCUAUUGAUUAACGAGCUAGUCAACUAGAGGCUUACUAGGGACAUGGUGUUGUCUAUGUAUCCACACAUGUAUCUAAGUUUCCUAUCAAUACAAUUCUAGCAUGGAUAAUAAACGAUUAUCAUGAACAAGGAAAUAUAAUAAUAAUCAAUUUAUUAUUGCCUCUAGGGCAUAUUUCCAACAGUCUCCCACUUGCACUAGAGUCAAUAAUCUAGUUCACAUCGAUAUGUGAUUAACACUCAAGGUCACAUUCCCAUGUGACUAACACCCAAGAGUUUACUAGAGUCAAUAAUCUAGUUCACAUUUACCAUGUGAUUAACACUUGAUGAGUUCUGGGUUUGAUCAUGUUAUGCUUGUGAGAGAGGUUAUAGUCAACGGGUCUGAACCUUUCAGAUCCGUGUGUGCUUUACAAAUCUCUAUGUCAUCUCCUAGAUGCAGCUACCACGUUCUAUUUGGAGCUAUUCCAAAUAACUGUUCUACUUGGAGCUAUUCUAAAUUGUUGCUCCAUUAUACGUAUCCGGUAUCUCUACUCAGAGCUAUCCGGAUAGGUGUUAAGCUUGCAUCGACGUAACCCUUUACGACGAACUCUUUUACCACCUCCAUAAUUGAGAAAAUUCCUUAGUCCACUAGUUACUAAGGAUAACUUUGACCGCUGUCCUGUGAUCCAUUCUUGGAUCACUCUUGUACCCCUUGACUGACUCAUGGUAAAGCACACUUCAGGUGCGGUACACAGCAUAGCAUACUGUAGAGCCUAUGUCUUAAGCAUAGGGGACGACCUUCGUUCCUUUCUCUCUAUUCUGCCAUGGUCGAGCUUUAAGUCUUAACUUCAUACCUUACAACUCAGGCAAGAACUCCUUCUUUGACUGAUCCAUCUUGAACACCUUCAAGAUCACGUCAAGGCAUGUGCUCACGUCAAGAUCACGUCGGUAUACCGAUACCUUGUUCAAUCUCGUUACCGGCAAGUCUCUUUACUCGUUCCGUAACACAUCAUCCCGUGAUCAACCCCUUGGUCACAUUGUGCACAUUAUGAUGAUGUCCUACCGAGUGGGCCCAGAGAUACCUCUCCGUUUACACGGAGUGACAAAAUCCCAAUCUCGAUUCGUGCCAACCCAACAGACACUUUCAGAGAUACCCGUAGUGUACCUUUAUAGCCACCCAGUUACGUUGUGACGUUUGGCACACCCAAAGCACUCCUACGGUAUCCGGGAGUUGCACAAUCUCAUGGUCUAAGGAAAUGAUACUUGACAUUAGAAAAGCUUUAGCAUACGAACUACAUGAUCUUGUGCUAGGCUUAGGAUUGGGUCUUGUCCAUCACAUCAUUCUCCUAAUGAUGUGAUCCCGUUAUCAACGACAUCCAAUGUCCAUGGUCAGGAAACCGUAACCAUCUAUUGAUUAACGAGCCAGUCAACUAGAGGCUUACUAGGGACAUGGUGUUGUCUAUGUAUCCACACAUGUAUCUGAGUUUCCUAUCAAUACAAUUCUAGCAUGGAUAAUAAACGAUUAUCAUGAACAAGGAAAUAUAAUAAUAAUCAAUUUAUUAUUGCCUCUAGGGCAUAUUUCCAACAGUCUCCCACUUGCACUAGAGUCAAUAAUCUAGUUCACAUCACCAUGUGAUUAACACUGACAGGUCACAUCACCAUGUGACCAACAUCCAAAGAGUCUUGGGUUUGAUCAUGUUGCUUGUGAGAGAGGUUAUAGUCAACGGGUCUGAACCUUUCAGAUCCGUGUGUGCUUUACAAAUCUCUAUGUCAUCUCCUAGAUGCAGCUACCACGUUCUAUUUGGAGCUAUUCCAAAUAACUGUUCUACUUGGAGCUAUUCUAAAUUGUUGCUCCAUUAUACGUAUCCGGUAUCUCUACUCAGAGCUAUCCGGAUAGGUGUUAAGCUUGCAUCGACGUAACCCUUUACGACGAACUCUUUUACCACCUCCAUAAUUGAGAAAAUUCCUUAGUCCACUAGUUACUAAGGAUAACUUUGACCGCUGUCCUGCGAUCCAUUCUUGGAUCACCCUUGUACCCCUUGACUGACUCAUGGUAAAGCACACUUCAGGUGCGGUACACAGCAUAGCAUACUGUAGAGCCUAUGUCUUAAGCAUAGGGGAUGACCUUCGUUCCUUUCUCUCUAUUCUGCCAUGGUCGAGCUUUAAGUCUUAACUUCAUACCUUACAACUCAGGCAAGAACUCCUUCUUUGACUGGUCCAUCUUGAACACCUUCAAGAUCAUGUCAAGGUAUGUGCUCAUUUGAAAGUACUAUUAAGCGUUUUGAUCUAUCCUUAUAGAUCUUGAUGCUCAAUGUUCAAGUAGCUUAAUCCAGGUUUUCCAUUGAAAACACUUUCCAAAUAACCCUAUAUGCUUUCCAGAAAUUCUACGUCAUUUCUGAUCAUUAAUAUGUCAACAACAUAUAAUCAUCAGAAAUUCUAUAGUGCUCCCACUCACUUCUUUGGAAAUACAAGUUUCUCAUAAACUUUGUAUACACCCAAAAUCUUUGAUCAUCAUCAAAGCAUACAUUCCAACUCCGAGAUGCUCACUCCAGUCCUCAGAAGGAUUGCUGGAGCUUUGCAUACUUAUUAGCAUAUUUCAGGAUAGACAAAACCUUCCAGUUGUAUCACAUACAACCUUUCCUCAAGAAUCGUCGACGAAACAAUGUUUUGACAUCCUAUCUGCAAGAUUUCAUAAAUAAUGCAGUAAUUGUUAAUAUAAUUCCAACAGACUCUUAGCAUCGCUACGAGUGAGAAAGUCUCAUUGUAGUCAACUCCUUGAACUUGUCAAAAAACAUCUUAACGACAAGUCGAGCUUUCUCAAUGGUGACACUUACCAUCAUUGUCUGUCUUCCUUUCAAAAUCCAUAUGUACCUAACAGCCUUACGACCAUCAAGUAGUUCUUCCAAAGUCUACACUUUGUUUUCAUACAUGGAUCCUCUCUCGGGUUUUAUGGCCAUGAGCCAUUUAUCGGAAUCCGGGCCCACCAUUGCUUCUCCAUAGCUCGUAGGUUCAUUGUUGUCUAGCAACAUGACUUCCAAGACAGGAUUACUGUACCACUCUGAAGUAGUACGUAUCCUUGUCACCCUACGAGGUUUGGGAGUGACUUGAUCUGAAGUUUCAUGAUCACUAUCAUAAGCUUCUACUUCAAUUGGUGUAGGUGCCACAGGAACAACUUCCUGUGCCCUGCUACACACUGGUUGAAGUGAUGGUUCAAUAACCUCAUCAAGUCUCCACCAUCCUCCCACUCAAUUCUUUCGAGAGAAACCUUUCCUCGAGAAAGGACCCAAUUCUAGAAACAAUUCAUAUUGCUUUCGGAUCUGAAUUAGGAAGUAUACCCAACUGUUUUGGGUGUCCUAUGAAGAUGUACUUUAUCCGCUUUGGUUUCGAGCUUAAUCCUGAAACUUUUUCACAUAAGUGUCGCAGCCCCAAACCUUUAAGAAACGACAACUUAGGUUUCUCUAAACCAUAAUUCAUACGGUGUCAUCUCAUCGGAAUUACGUGGUGCCCUAUUUAAAGUGAAUGUGGUUGUCUUUAAUGCCUAACCCAUAAACUAUCGUGGCAGUUCGAUAAGAGACAUCAUGGUAUGCAUCAUAUCCAAUAGGGUGCAACUAUGAUGUUCGGACACACCAUCACACUAUGGUGUUCCAGGCGGUAUUAAUUGUGAAACAAUUUCCACAAUGUCUUAAUUGUGUGCCAAAACUCGUAACUCAGAUACUCAUCUCUAUGAUCAUAUCAUAGACAUUUUAUCCUCUUGUCACAAUGAUCUUCUACUUCACUCUGAAAUUACUUGAACCAUUCAACAAUUCAGACUUGUGUUUCAUCAAGUAAAUAUUCUCAACAUCUACUCGAAUCAUCUGUGAAGUAAGAACAUAACGAUAUUCACUGCAUGCCUCAGCACUCAUUGGACUGCACACAUCAAAAUGUGUUACUUCCAACAAGUUGCUAUCUUGUUCCAUCUUACUGAAAACGAGGCUUUUCAGUCAUCUUGCCCAUGUGGUAUGAUUUGCAUGUCCCAAGUGAUUCAAAAAUCAAGUGAGUCAAAACGGUCCAUUUGCAUGGAGUUUCUUCAUGCAUAUACACCAAUAGACAUGGUUCGCAUGUCUCAAACUUUUCAAAAACGAGUGAGCCCAAAGAUCCAUCAAUAUGGAGCUUCUUCAUGCGUUUUAUACCGAUAUGACUUACGUGGUAGUGCCACAAGUAGGUGGUACUAUCAUUACUAUCUUUUGGCAUGAACAUGUGUAUCACUACGAUCGAGAUUUAAUAAACCAUUCAUUUUAGGUGUAAGACCAUUGAAGGUAUUAUUCAAAUAAACAGAGUAACCAUUAUUCUCCUUAAAUGAAUAACCGUAUUGCGAUAGACGUAAUCCAAUCAUGUCUAUGCUCAACGCAAACACCAAAUAACAAUUAUUUAGGUUUAACACCAAUCUCUUUGGUAGAGGGAGCGUGCGAUGCUUGAUCAUAUCAAGCAUGGAAAAACUUACAACACAUAUCGUCAGCUCACCUUUAGCUAGUCUCUGUUUAUUCCGUAGCCUUUUGUUUCGAGUUACUAACACUUAGCAACCGAACUGGUAUCUAAUACCCUGGUGCUACUAGGAGUACUAGCAAAGUACACAUUAACACAAUGUAUAUCCAAUAUACUUCUAUCGACCUUGCCAGCCUUCUUAUCUACCAAGUAUCUAGGGUAAUUCUGCUCUAGUAGUUGUUCCCCUUAUUACAGAAGCACUUAGUCUCGGGUUUGGGUUUUACCUUGGGUUUCUUCACUAGAGCAGCAGCUGAUUUGCCGUUUCAUGAAGUAUCCCUUCUUGCCCUUGCCCUUCUUGAAACUAGUGGUUCCACCAACCAUCAACAAUUGAUGCUCCUUCUUGAUUUCUACUUUCGCGGUGUCAAACAUCGCGAAUACCUCAAGGAUCAUCAUAUCUAUCCCUGAUAUGUUAUAGUUCAUCAUGAAGCUCUAACAGCUUGGUGGCAAUGACUUUGGAGAACCAUCACUAUCUCAUCUGGAAGAUCAACUCCCACUCGAUUCAAGCGAUUGUUGUACUCAGACAAUCUGAGCACAAGCUCAACGAUUGAGCUUUUCUCCCUUAGUUUGCAGGUUAAGAAAGUCAUCGGAGGUCUUAUACCUCUUGACAUGGGCACGAGCCUGAAAUCCCAAUUUCAGCCCUCAAAACAUCUCAUAUGUUUCGCGAUGUUUCAAAAACGUCUUUGGUGCCUCAACUCUAAACCGUUUAACUGAACUAUCACGUAGUUAUCAAAACGUGUAUGUCAGAUGUUCGCAACAACCACAGACAACGUUCGAGGUUCAGCACACUGAGCGGUGCAUUAAGGACAUAAGCCUUCUAUGAAGCAAUGAGGACAAUCCUCAGUUUACGGACCUAGUCCGCAUAAUUGCUACUAUCAACUUUCAACUAAUUUUUCUCUAGGAACAUAUCUAAACAGUAGAACUAUAGCGUGAGCUACGACAUAAUUUGCAAAAACCUUUUGACUAUGUUCAGGAUAAUUAAGUUCAUCUUAUGAACUCCCACUCAGAUAGACAUCCCUCUAGUCAUCUAAGUGAUUACAUGAUCCGAGUCAAACUAGGCCGUGUCCGAUCAUCACGUGAGACGGACUAGUCAUCAUCGGUGAACAUCUUCAUGUUGAUCGUAUCUUCUAUACGACUCAUGUUCGACCUUUCGGUCUUCGUGUUCCGAGGCCAUGUAUGUACAUGCUAGGCUCGUCAAGUUAACCCUAAGUGUUUCGCGUGUGUAAAUCUGUCUUACACCCGUUGUAUGUGAACGUUAGAAUCUAACACCCGAUCAUCACGUGGUGCUUCGAAACACGAACUGUCGCAACGGUGCACAGUUAGGGGAGAACACUUCUUGAAAUUGUUGUAAGGGAUCAUCUUAUUUACUACCGUCGUUCUAAGCAAAUAAGAUGUAUAAACAUGAUAAACAUCACAUGCAAUCAAAUAGUGACAUGAUAUGGCCAUCAUCACUUUGCUCCUUUUGAUCUCCAUCUUCGGGGCUCCAUGAUCAUCAUCGUCACCGGCAUGACACCAUGAUCUCCAUCAUCAUGAUCUCCAUCAUCGUGUCUUCAUGAAGUUGCCUCGCCAACUAUUACUUCUACUACUAUGGCUAACGGUUAGCAAUAAAGUAAAGUAAUUACAUGACGUUUAAGUUGACACGCAGGUCACAAAUGAAUAAAGACAACUCCUAUGGCUCCUGCCGGUUGUCAUACUCAUCGACAUGCAAGUCGUGAUUCCUAUUACAAGAACAUGAUCAAUCUCAUACAUCACAUAUAUCAUUCAUCACAUCCUUUUUGGCCAUAUCACAUCACAUAGCAUACCCUGCAAAAACAAGUUAGACGUCCUCUAAUUGUUGUUUGCAUGUUUUACGUGGCUGCUAUGGGUUUCUAGCAAGAACGUUUCUUACCUACGCAUGAACAACAACGUGAUAUGCCAAUUGCUAUUUACCCUUCAUAAGGACCCUUUUCAUCGAAUCCGAUCCGACUAAAGUGGGAGAGACAGACACCCGCCAGCCACCUUAUGCAACUAGUGCAUGUUUGUCGGUGGAACCGGUCUCACGUAAGCGUACGUGUAAGGUUGGUCCGGGCCGCUUCAUCCCACGAUGCCGCCGAAUCAAGAUAAGACUAGUAACGGCAAGCAUAUUGAACAAUAUCAACGCCCACAACUACUUUGUGUUCUACUCGUGCAAAGAAUCUACGCAAUAGACCUAGCUCAUGAUGCCACUGUUGGGGAACGUAGCAGAAAUUCAAAAUUUUCCUACGUGUCACCAAGAUCUAUCUAUGGAGAUACUAGCAACGAGGGAAGGAGAGUGCAUCUACAUACCCUUGUAGAUCGCUAAGCGGAAGCGUUCAAGUGAACGGGGUUGAUGGAGUCGUACUCGUCGUGAUUCAGAUCACCGAUGAUCCUAGUGCCGAACGGACGGCACCUCCGCGUUCAACACACGUACAGCUCGACGAUGUCUCCCACGCCUUGAUCCAGCAAGGAGAGAGGGAGAGGUUGAGGAAGACUCCAUCCAGCAGCAGCACAACGGCGUGGUGGUGAUGGAGGAGCGUGGCAAUCCUGCAGGGCUUCGCCAAGCACCUACGGGAGAGGAGGAGGUGUCACGGGAGGGAGGGAGGCGCCAAGGGCUCAGGUAUAGAUGCCCUCCCUCCCCUCCACUAUAUAUAGGGGCAAGGGAGAGGGGGAGGCGCAUCCUUGCCCCUUCCUCCAAGGAAGGGGUGCGGCUAAGAGGGGGGGAGGAGUCCAUCCUCCCCAAGGCACCUCGGAGGUGCCUUCCCCCUUUAGGACUCUCCCCUUUUUCCUAUAUCUUGGCGCAUGGGCCUCUAGGGGCUGGUGCCCUUGGCCCAUGUAGGCCAAGGCGCACCCCCCUACAGCCCAUGUGGCCCCCCGGGGCAGGUGGCCCCACCCGGUGGGCCCCCGGGACCCUUCCGGUGGUCCCGGUACAAUACCGAUGACCCCGAAACUUGUCCCGAUGGCCGAAACAGGACUUCCUAUAUAUAAAUCUUUACCUCCGGACCAUUCCGGAACUCCUCGUGACGUCCGGGAUCUCAUCCGGGACUCCGAACAACAUUCGGUAACCACAUACAAACUUCCUUUAUAACCCUAGCGUCAUCGAACCUUAAGUGUGUAGACCCUACGGGUUCGGGAGACAUGUAGUCAUGACCGAGAUGUUCUCCGGUCAAUAACCAACAGCGGGAUCUGGAUACCCAUGUUGGCUCGCACAUGUUCCACGAUGAUCUCAUCGGAUGAACCACGAUGUCAAGGACUCAAUCAAUCCCGUAUACAAUUCCCUUUGUCUAGCGGUAUGGUACUUGCCCGAGAUUCGAUCGUCGGUAUACCGAUACCUUGUUCAAUCUCGUUACCGGCAAGCCUCUUUACUCGUUCCGUAACACAUCAUCCCGUGAUCAACCCCUUGGUCACAUUGUGCACAUUAUGAUGAUGUCCUACCGAGUGGGCCCAGAGAUACCUCUCCGUUUACACGGAGUGACAAAAUCCCAAUCUCGAUUCGUGCCAACCCAACAGACACUUUCAGAGAUACCCGUAGUGUACCUUUAUAGCCACCCAGUUACGUUGUGACGUUUGGCACACCCAAAGCACUCCUACGGUAUCCGGGAGUUGCACAAUCUCAUGGUCUAAGGAAAUGAUACUUGACAUUAGAAAAGCUUUAGCAUACGAACUACAUGAUCUUGUGCUAGGCUUAGNNNNNNNNNNUGAUCAACCCCUUGGUCACAUUGUGCACAUUAUGAUGAUGUCCUACCGAGUGGGCCCAGAGAUACCUCUCCGUUUACACGGAGUGACAAAAUCCCAAUCUCGAUUCGUGCCAACCCAACAGACAUUUUCAGAGAUACCCGUAGUGUACCUUUAUAGCCACCCAGUUACGUUGUGACGUUUGGCACACCCAAAGCACUCCUACGGUAUCCGGGAGUUGCACAAUCUCAUGGUCUAAGGAAAUGAUACUUGACAUUAGAAAAGCUUUAGCAUACGAACUACAUGAUCUUGUGCUAGGCUUAGGAUUGGGUCUUGUCCAUCACAUCAUUCUCCUAAUGAUGUGAUCCCGUUAUCAACGACAUCCAAUGUCCAUGGUCAGGAAACCGUAACCAUCUAUUGAUUAACGAGCUAGUCAACUAGAGGCUUACUAGGGACAUGGUGUUGUCUAUGUAUCCACACAUGUAUCUGAGUUUCCUAUCAAUACAAUUCUAGCAUGGAUAAUAAACGAUUAUCAUGAACAAGGAAAUAUAAUAAUAAUCAAUUUAUUAUUGCCUCUAGGGCAUAUUUCCAACAAGAAACGGGGAACAAACUGAUGAAAGAAUGAUCAUACCGAGGGAAUUCACUCAGAACUAACAAGAAUGAUAACGUGCUUUGACUGGAGCGGUUUAAAAACUGCUGGAAGGCUCUAGGGGAAUAAAGAUGGAAUGCCUUCAAAUUUCUAGGUCCGUAUGAUUUGAAAUACUUGCACACAAACCGCGCGAAAGCGUUCCUGGAAAUCUCAGCCCAAAAAAGGACGUUUAGUAAUUCUAAAAGGGACUACAGAAUGAAAAACAAUAGUUUUGGCAGUUAAAGUUUGAGAUUCGAUGGUGCCGUAGAUCCGUUUGGUCAUCAGGUGUAACGAGCCACACCCAUGUCUAGCUAGAGUAGUGUGCUAGGCUCAGGCUAGAGAAGAAACGGGGAACAAACUGAUGAAAGAAUGAUCAUACCGAGGGAAUUCACUCAGAACUAACAAGAAUGAUAACGUGCUCCGACUGGAGCGGUUUAGGAACUGCUGGAAGGCUCUAGGGGAAGAAAGAAGGAAUGACUUCUAAUUUUUAGGUCCGUAUGAUUUGAAAUACGUGCACACAAACCGCGCGAAAGCGUUCCUGGAAAUCUCAGCCCAAAAAAGGACGUUUAGUAUUCUAAAAGGGACUACAGAAUGAAAAACAAUAGUUUUGGCAGUUAAAGUUUGAGAUUCGACGGUGCCGUAGAUCCGUUUGGUCAUCAGGUGUUACGAGCCACACCCAUGUCUAGCUAGAAUAGUGUGCNNNNNNNNNNNNNNNNNNNNNNNNNCGUAUGAUUUGAAAUACGUGCACACAAACCGCGCGAAAGCGUUCCUGGAAAUCUCAGCCCAAAAAAGGACGUUUAGUAUUCUAAAAGGGACUACAGAAUGAAAAACAAUAGUUUUGGCAGUUAAAGUUUGAGAUUCGACGGUGCUGUAGAUCCGUUUGGUCAUCAGGUGUUACGAGCCACACCCAUGUCUAGCUAGAAUAGUGUGCUAGGCUCAGGCUAGAGAAGAAAAGGGGAACAAACUAAUGAAAGAAUGAUCAAUACGAGGGAAUUCACUCAGAACUAACAAUAAUGAUAACGUGCUCCGACUGGAGCGGUUUAGGAACUGCUGGAAGGCUCUAGGCGAAUAAAGAUGGAAUGACUUCUAAUUUUUACGUCCGUAUGAUUUGAAAUACUUGCACACAAACCACGCAAAAGCGUUCCUGGAAAUCUCGGCCUAAAAAGGACGUUUAGUAAUUCUAAAAGGGACUACAGGAUGAAAAAUAAUAGUUUGGGCAGUUAAAAUUUGAGAUUCGACGGUGCCGUAGAUCCGUUUGGUCAUCAGGUGUUACGAGCCACACCCAUGUCUAGCUAGAAUAGUGUGUUAGGCUCAGGCUAGAGAAGAAACGAGGAACAAACUGAUGAAAGAAUGAUCAUACCAAGGGAAUUCACUCAGAACUAACAAGAAUGAUAACGUGCUCCGACUGGAGCAGUUUAGAAACUGCUGGAAGGCUCUAGGGGAAUAAAGAUGGAAUGACUUCUGAUUUUUAGGUCCGUAUGAUUUGAAAUACGUGCACACAAACCCCGCGAAAGCGUUCCUGGAAAUCUCAGCCCAAAAAAGGACGUUUAGUAAUUCUAAAAGGGACUACAACAUGAAAAACAAUAGUUUUGGCAGUUAAAGUUUGAGAUUUCAUGGUGCCGUAGAUCUGUUUGGUCAUCAGGUGUUACGAGCCACACCCAUGUCUAGCUAGAAUAGUGUGUUAGGCUCAGGCUAGAAAAGAAACGGGAAACAAAGUGAUGAAAGAAUGACCAUACCGAGGGAAUUCACUCAGAACUAACAAGAAUGAUAACAUGCUCCGACUUGAGCGGUUUAGGAACUGCUGGAAGGCUCUAGGGGAAUAAAGAUGGAAUGACUUCUAAUGUUUAGGUCCGUAUGAUUUGAAAUACUUGCACAUAAACCGCACAAAAGCGUUCCUGGAAAUCUCAGCCCAAAAAAGGACGUUUAGUAAUUCUAAAAGGGACUACAGGAUGAAAAACAAUAGUUUUGGCAGUUAAAGUUUGAGAUUCGACGGUGCCGUAGAUCCGUUUGGUCAUCAGGUGUUACGAGCCACACCCAUGUCUAGCUAGAAUAGUGUGUUAGGCUCAGGCUAGAGAAGAAACUUGGAACAAACUGAUGAAAGAAUGAUCAAACCAACGGAAUUCACUCAGAACUAACAAUAAUGAUAACGUGCUCCGACUGGAGCAGUUUAGGAACUGCUGGAAGGCUCUAGGGGAAUAAAGAUGGAAUGACUUCUAAUUUUUAGGUCCGUAUGAUUUGAAAUACUUGCACGCAAACCGCGCGAAAGCGUUCCUGGAAAUAUCAGCCCAAAAAAGGACGUUUAGUAAUUCUAAAAGGGACUACAGGAUGAAAACAAUAGUUUUGGCAGUUAAAGUUUGAGAUUCAACAGUGCCGUAGAUCCGUUUGGUCAUCAGGUGUUAUGAGCCAUACCCAUGUCUAGCUAGAGUAGUGUGCUAGGCUCAGGCUAGAGAAGAAACAGGGAACAAACUGAUGAAAGAAUGAUCAUACCGAGGGAAUUCACUCAGAACUAACAAGAAUGAUAACGUGCUCCGACUGGAGCGGUUUAGGAACUGCUGGAAGGCUCUAGGGGAAUAAAGAUGGAGUGACUUCUAAAUUUUUAGGUCCGUAUGAUUUAAAAUACUUGCACACAAACCGCACGAAAGCGUUCCUUGAAAUCUCAGCCCAAAAAAGGACGUUUAGUAAGUCUAAAAGGGACUAUAGGAUGAAAAACAAUAGUUUUGGCAGUUAAAGUUUGAGAUUCGAUGGUGCCGUAGAUCUGUUUGGUCAUCAGGUGUUACGAGCCACACCCAUGUCUAGUUGGAAUAGUGUGCUAGGCUCAGACUAGAGAAGAAACAGGGAACAAACUGAUGAAAGAAUGAUCAAACCGAGGAAAUUCACUCAGAACUAACAAUAAUGAUAACAUGCUCCGACUGGAGCGGUUUAGGAACUGCUGGAAGGCUCUAGGGGAAUAAAGAUGGAAUGACUUCUAAAUUUUUAGGUCCGUAUGAUUUGAAAUAGUUGCACACAAACUGCGCGAAAGCGUUCCUGGAAAUCUCAGCCCAAAAAAGGACGUUUAGUAAUUCUAAAAGGGACUAUAGGAUGAAAAACAAUAGUUUUGGCAGUUAAAGUUUGAGAUUCGACGGUGCCGUAGAUCCGUUUGGUCAUCACGUGUUACAAGCCACACCCAUGUCUAGCUAGAGUAGUGUGCUAGGCUCAGACUAUAGAAGAAACGGGGACCAAACUGAUGAAAGAAUGAUCAAACCGAGGAAAUUCACUCAGAACUAACAAUAAUGAUAACAUGCUCCGACUGGAGCGGUUUAGGAACUACUGGAAGGCUCUAGGGGAAUAAAGAUGGAAUGACUUCUAAAUUUUUAGGUCCGUAUGAUUUUAAAUAGUUGCACACAAACUGCGCGAAAGCGUUCCUGGAAAUCUCAGCCCAAAAAAGGACGUUUAGUAAUUCUAAAAGGGACUACAGGAUGAAAAACAAUAGUUUGGGCAGUUAAAAUUUGAGAUUCGACGGUGCCGUAGAUCCGUUUGGUCAUCAGGUGUUACGAGCCACACCCAUGUCUAGCUAGAGUAGUGUGCUAGGCUCAGGCUAGAGAAGAAACAGGGAACAAACUGAUGAAAGAAUGAUCAUACCGAGGGAAUUCACUCAGAACUAACAAGAAUGAUAACGUGCUCUGACUGGAGCGGUUUAAGAACUGUUGGAAGGCUCUAGGGGAAUAAAGAUGGAAUCACUUCAAAUUUUUACGUCCGUGUGAUUUGAAAUACUUGCACACAAACCGCACGAAAGCGUUCCUGGAAAUCUCAGCCCAAAAAAGGACGUUUAGUAAGUCUAAAAGGGACUACACGAUGAAAAACAAUAGUUUUGGCAGUUAAAGUUUGAGAUUCGACAGUGCCGUAGAUCCGUUUGGUCAUCAGGUGUAACGAGCCACACCCAUGUCUAGAUAGAGUAGUGUGCUAGGCUCAAACUAGAGAAGAAACGGGGAACAAACUGAUGAAAGAAUGAUCAUACCGAGGGAAUUCACUCAGAAAUAACAAGAAUGAUAACGUGCUCUGACUGGAGCGGUUUAGGAACUGCUGGAAGGCUCUAGGGGAAUAAAGAAGGAAUGACUUCUAAUUUUUAGGUCCGUAUGAUUUGAAAUACGUGCACACAAACCCCGAGAAAGCGUUCCUGGAAAUCUCGACCCAAAAAAGGACGUUUAGUAAUUCUAAAAGGGACUACGGGAUGAAAAACAAUAGUUUUGGCAGUUAAAGUUUGAGAUUCGAUAAUGCCGUAGAUCCAUUUGGUCAUCAGGUGUAACGAGCCACACCCAUGUCUAGCUAGAGUAGUGUGCUAGGCUCAGACUAGAGAAGAAACAGGGAACAAACUGAUGAAAGAAUGAUCAUAUCGAGGGAAUUCACUCAGAACUAACAAGAAUGAUAACAUGCUCCGACUUGAGCGGUUUAGGAACUGCUGGAAGGCUCUAGGGGAAUAAAGAUGGAAUGACUUCUAAUUUUUAGGUCCGUAUGAUUUGAAAUACUUACACACAAACCACGCGAAAGCGUUCCUGGAAAUCUCAGCCCAAAAAAGGACGUUUAGUAAUUCUAAAAGGGACUACAUGAUGAAAAACAAUAGUUUUCGCAGUUAAAGUUUGAGAUUCGACGGUGCCGUAGAUCCGUUUGGUCAUCAAGUGUUACGAGCCACACCCAUGUCUAGCUAGAAUAGUGUGUUAGGCUCAGCCUAGAGAAGAAACGGGGAACAAACUGAUGAAAGAAUGAUCAUACCGAGGGAAUUCACUCAGAACUUACAAGAAUGAUAACGUGCUCCGACUUGAGCGGUUUAAGAACUGUUGGAAGGCUCUAGGGGAAUAAAGAUGGAAUCACUUCAAAUUUUUACGUCCGUGUGAUUUGAAAUACUUGCACACAAACCCCGAGAAAGCGUUCCUGGAAAUCUCGGCCGAAAAAAGGAUGUUUAAUAAUUCUAAAAGGGACUACAGGAUGAAAAACAAUAGCUUUGGCAGUUAAAGUUUGUGAUUCGAUGGUGCCGUAGAUCUGUUUGGUCAUCAGGUGUUAUGAGCCACACCCAUGUCUAGCUAGAAUAGUGUGUUAGGCUCAGGCUAGAGCAGAAACUAGGAACAAACUUAUGAAAGAAUGAUCAUACCGAGGGAAUUCACUCAGAACUAACAAGAAUGAUAACGUGCUCCGACUGGAGCGGUUUAGGAACUGCUGGAAGGCUCUAGGGGAAUAAAGAUGGAAUGACUUCUAAUUUUUAGGUCCGUAUGAUUUGAAAUACAUGCACACAAACCCCAAGAAAGCGUUCCUAGAAAUCUCAGCCCAAAAAGGACGUUUAGUAAUUCUAAAAGGGACUACAGGAUGAAAAACAAUAGGUUUGGCAGUUAAAGUUUGAGAUUCGAUAAUGCCGUAGAUCCGUUUGGUCAUCAGGUGUAACGAGCCACACCCAUGUCUAGCUACAUUAGUGUGCUAGGCUCAGACUAGAGAAGAAACGGGGAACAAACUGAUGAAAGAAUGAUCAUACCGAGGGAAUUCACUCAGAACUAACAAGAACGAUAACAUGCUCCGACUGCAGCGGUUUAGGAACUGCUGGAAGGCUCUAGGGGAAUAAAGAAGGAAUGACUUCUAAUUUUUAGGUCCGUAUGAUUUGAAAUACUUGCACACAAACCGCGCGAAAGCAUUCCUGGAAAUCUCAGCCCAAAAAAGGACGUUUAGUAAUUCUAAAAGGGACUACAGGAUGAAAAACAAUAAUUUUGGCAGUUAAAGUUUGAGAUUCGACGGUGCCGUAGAUCCGUUUGGUCAUCAGGUGUUACGGGCCAUACCCAUGUCUAGCUAGAAUAGUGUGUUAGGCUCAGGUUAGAGAAGAAACGGGGAACAAAGUGAUGAAAGAAUGAUCAUACCGAGGGAAUUCACUCAGAACUAACAAGAAUGAUAACGUGCUCCGACUGGAGCGGUUUAGGAAUUGCUGGAAGGCUCUAGGGGAAUAAAGAUGGAAUGACUUCUAUAUUUUACGUCCGUAUGAUUUGAAAUACUUGCACACAAACCACGCAAAAGCACUCCUGGAAAUAUCAGCCUAAAAAGGAUGUUUAGUAAUUCUAAAAGGGACUACAGGAUGAAAAAUAAUAGUUUUGGCAGUUAAAAUUUGAGAUUCAACGGUGCCGUAAAUCCGUUUGGUCAUCAGGUGUUACGAGCCACACCCAUGUCUAGCUAGAAUAGUGUGUUAGGCUCAGGUUAGAGAAGAAACGGGGAACAAACUGAUGAAAGAAUGAUCAUACAAGGGGAAUUCACUCAGAACUAUCAAGAAUGAUAACGUGCUCCGACUGGAGCAGUUUAGGAACUGCCGGAAGGCUCUAGGGGAAUAAAGAUGGAAUGACUUCUAAUUUUUAUGUCCGUAUGAUUUGAAAUACUUGCACACAAACCACGCAAAAGCGUUCCUGGAAAUCUCAGCCUAAAAAGGACGUUUAGUAAUUCUAAAAGGGACUACAGGAUGAAAAACAAUAGUUUGGGCAGUUAAAAUUCGAGAUUCGACGGUGCCGUAGAUCCGUUUGGUCAUCAGGUGUUACGAGCCACACCCAUGUCUAGCUAGAAUAGUGUGUUAGGCUCAGGCUAGAGAAGAAACGGGGAACAAACUGAUGAAAGAAUGAUCAUAUCGAGGGAAUUCACUCAGAACUAACAAGAAUGAUAACGUGCUCCGACUGGAGCGGUUUAGUAACUGCUGGAAGGCUCUAGGGGAAUAAAGAUGGAAUGACUUCUAAUUAUUAGGUCCGUAAGAUUUGAAUUACAUGCACACAAACCCCGAGAAAGCGUUCCUGGAAAUCUCGGUCGAAAAAAGGAUGUUUAGUAAUUCUAAAAGGGACUACAGGAUGAAAAACAAUAGUUUUGGCAGUUAAAGUUUGUGAUUCGAUGGUGCCGUAGAUCUGUUUGGUCAUCAGGUGUUACGAGCCACACCCAUGUCUAGCUAGAAUAGUGUGUUAGGCUCAGGCUAGAGCAGAAACGGGGAACAAACUUAUGAAAGAAUGAUCAUGCCGAGGGAAUUCACUCAGAACUAACAAGAAUGAUAACGUGCUCCGACUGGAGCGGUUUAGGAACUGCUGGAAGGCUCUAGGGGAAUAAAGAUGGAAUGACAUCAAAUUUUUAGGUCCGUAUGAUUUGAAAUACUUGCACACAAACCGCAAGAAAGCGUUCUUGGAAAUCUCCGCCCAAAAAAGGACGUUUAGUAAUUCUAAAAGGGUCUACAGGAUGAAAAACAAUAGUUCUGGCAGUUAAAGUUUGAGAUUCGAUAAUGUCGUAGAUCCGUUUGGUCAUCAGGCGUAACGAGCCACACCCAUUUCUAGCUAGAGUAGUGUGCUAGGCUCAGACUAGAGAAGAAACGGGGAACAACCUGAUGAAAGAAUGAUCAUACCGAGGGAAUUCACUCAGAACUAACAAGAAUGAUAACGUGCUCCGACUGGAGCGGUUUAGGAACUGCUGGAAGGCUCUACGGGAAUAAAGAAGGAAUGACUUCUAAUUUUUAGGUCCGUAUGAUUUGAAAUACGUGCACACAAACCCCGAGAAAGCGUUCCUGGAAAUCUCGGCCCAAAAAAGGACGUUUAGUAUUCUAAAAGCGACUACAGAAUGAAAAACAAUAGUUUUGGUAGUUAAAGUUUGAGAUUUAACGGUGCCGUAGAUCUGUUUGGUCAUCAGGUGUUACGAGCCACACCCAUGUCUAGCUAGAAUAGUGUGUUAGGCUCAGGCUAGAUAAGAAACAGGGAACAAAGUGAUGAAAGAAUGAUCAUACCAAGGGAAUUCACUCAGAACUAACAAGAACGAUAACAUGCUCCGACUGGAGUGGUUUAGGAACUGCUGGAAGGCUCUAGGGGAAUAAAGAUGGAAUGACUUCUAAUUUUUAGGUCUGUAUGAUUUGAAAUACUUGCACACAAACCGCACGAAAGCGUUCCUGGAAAUCUCAUCCCAAAAAAGGACGUUUAGUAAUUCUAAAAGGGACUACAGGAUGAAAAACAAUAGUUUUGGCAGUUAAAGUUUGAGAUUCGAUAAUGCUGUAGAUCCGUUUGGUCAUCAGGUGUAACGAGCCACACCCAUGUCUAGCUAGAGUAGUGUGCUAGGCUCAGACUAGAGAAGAAACGGGGAACAAACUGAUGAAAGAAUGAUCAUACCGAGGGAAUUCACUCAGAACUAACAAUAAUGAUAACGUGCUCCGACUGGAGCGGUUUAGGAACUGCUGGAAGGCUCUAGGGGAAUAAAGAUGGAAUGAGUUCUAAUUUUUAGGUCUGUAUGAUUUGAAAUACUUGCACACAAACCGCGUGAAAGCAUUCCUGGAAAUUUCAGCCCAAAAAAGGACGUUUAGUAAUUUUAAAAGGGACUACACGAUGAAAAACAAUAGUUUUGGCAGUUAAAGUUUGAGAUUCGACGGUGCCGUAGAUCCGUUUGGUCAUCAGGUGUUACGAGCCACACCCAUGUCUAGCUAGAAUAGUAUGUUAGGCUCGGGUAAGAGAAGAAACGGGGAACAAACUGAUGAAAGAAUGAUCAUACCAAGGGAAUUCACUCAGAACUAACAAGAAUGAUAACGUGCUCCGACUGGAGCGGUUUAGGAACUGCUGGAAGGCUCUAGGGGAAUAAAGAUGGAAUGACUUCUAAUUUUUACGUUCGUAUGAUUUGAAAUACUUGCACACAAACCACGCAAAAGCGUUCCUGGAAAUCUCAUCCUAAAAAAGGACGUUUAGUAAUUCUAAAAGGGACUACAGGAUGAAAAAUAAUAGUUUGGGCAGUUAAAAUUUGAGAUUCGACGGUGCCGUAGAUCCGUUUGGUCAUCAGGUGUUACGAGCCACACCCAUGUCUAGCUAGAAUAGUGUGUUAGGCUCAGGCUAGAGAAGAAACGGGGAACAAACUGAUGAAAGAAUGAUCAUAUCGAGGGAAUUCACUCAGAACUAACAAGAAUGAUAACGUGCUCCGACUGGAGCAGUUUAGAAACUGCUGGAAGGCUCUAGGGGAAUAAAGAUGGAAUGACUUCUAAUUUUUAGGUCUGUAUGAUUUGAAAUACGUGCACACGAACCCCGAGAAAGCGUUCCUGGAAAUCUCGGCCCAAAAAAGGACGUUUAGUAAUUCUAAAAGGGACUACAGGAUGAAAAACAAUAGUUUUGGCAGUUAAAGUUUGAGAUUCGACGGUGCCGUAGAUCCGUUUGUUCAUCAGGUGUUACGAGCCACACCCAUGUCUAGCUAGAAUAGUGUGUUAGGCUCAGGCUAGAGAAGAAACGGGGAACAAACUGAUGAAAGAAUGAUCAUACCGAGGGAAUUCACUCAGAACUAACAAGAAUGAUAACGUGCUCCGACUGGAGCGGUUUAGGAACUGCUAGAAGGCUCUAGGGGAAUAAAGAAGGAAUGACUUCUAAUUUUUAGGUCCGUAUGAUUUGAAAUACGUGCACACAAACCCCGAGAAAGCGUUCCUGGAAAUCUUGGCCCAAAAAAGGACGUUUAGUAUUCUAAAAGCGACUACAGAAUGAAAAACAAUAGUUUUGCUAGUUAAAGUUUGAGAUUUGAUGGUGCCGUAGAUCUGUUUGGUCAUCAGGUUUUACGAGCCACACCCAUGUCUAGCUAGAAUAGUGUGUUAGGCUCAGGCUAGAAAAGAAACAGGGAAUAAAGUGAUGAAAGAAUGAUCAUACCAAGGGAAUUCACUCAGAACUAACAAGAACGAUAACAUGCUCCGACUGGAGUGGUUUAGAACUGCUGGAAGGCUAAAGGGGAAUAAAGAUGGAAUGACUUCUAAUUUUUAGGUCCGUAUGAUUUGAAAUACUUGCACACAAACCGCACGAAAGUGUUCCUGGAAAUCUCAGCCCAAAAAAGGACGUUUAGUAAUUCUAAAAGGGACUACAGGAUGAAAAACAAUAGUUUUGGCAGUUAAAGUUUGAGAUUCGAUAAUGACGUAGAUCCGUUUGGUCAUCAGGUGUAACGAGCCACACCCAUGUCUAGCUAGAGUAGUGUGCUAGGCUCAGACUAGAGAAGAAACGGGGAACAAACUGAUGAAAGAAUGAUCAUACCGAGGGAAUUCACUCAGAACUAACAAUAAUGAUAACGUGCUCCGACUAGAGCGGUUUAGGAACUGCUGGAAGGCUCUAGGGGAAUAAAGAUGGAAUGACUUCUAAUUUUUAGGUCCCUAUGAUUUGAAAUACUUGCACACAAACCGCGUGAAAGCAUUCCUGGAAAUUUCAGCCCAAAAAAGGACGUUUAGUAAUUUUAAAAGGGACUACACGAUGAAAAAGAAUAGUUUUGGCAGUUAAAGUUUGAGAUUCGACGGUGCCGUAGAUCCGUUUGGUCAUCAGGUGUUACGAGACACACCCAUGUCUAGCUAGAAUAGUAUGUUAGGCUCGGGUUAGAGAAGAAACGGGGAACAAACUGAUGAAAGAAUGAUCAUACCAAGGGAAUUCACUCAGAACUAACAAGAAUGAUAACGUGCUCCGACUGGAGCGGUUUAGGAACUGCUGGAAGGCUCUAGGGGAAUAAAGAUGGAAUGACUUCUAAUUUUUACGUUCGUAUGAUUUGAAAUACUUGCAAACAAACCACGCAAAAGCGUUCCUGGAAAUUUCAUCCUAAAAAAGGACGUUUAGUAAUUCUAAAAGGGACUACAGGAUGAAAAAUAAUAGUUUGGGCAGUUAAAAUUUGAGAUUCGAUGGUGCCGUAGAUCCGUUUGGUCAUCAGGUGUUACGAGCCACACCCAUGUCUAGCUAGAAUAGUGUGUUAGGCUCAGGCUAGAGAAGAAACGGGGAACAAACUGAUGAAAGAAUGAUCAUAUCGAGGGAAUUCACUCAGAACUAACAAGAAUGAUAACGUGCUCCGACUGGAGCAGUUUAGAAACUGCUGGAAGGCUCUAGGGGAAUAAAGAUGGAAUGACUUCUAAUUUUUAGGUCUGUAUGAUUUGAAAUACGUGCACACAAACCCCGAGAAAGCGUUCCUGGAAAUCUCGUCCGGAAAAAGGAUGUUUAAUAAUUCUAAAAGGGACUACAGGAUGAAAAACAAUAGUUUUGGCAGUUAAAGUUUGUGAUUCGAUGGUGCCGUAGAUCUGUUUGGUCAUCAGGUGUUACGGGCCACACCCAUGUCUAGCUAGAAUAGUGUGUUAGGCUCAGGCUAGAGCAGAAACGGGGAGCAAACUUAUGAAAGAAUGAUCAUAGCGAGGGAAUUUACUCAGAACUAACAAGAAUGAUAACGUGCUCCGACUGGAGCGGUUUAGGAACUGCUGGAAGGCUCUAGGGGAAUAAAGAUGGAAUGACUUCAAAUUUUCAGGUAUGUAUGAUCUGAAAUACUUGCACACAAACCGCGAGAAAGCGUUCCUGGAAAUCUCAACCCAAAAAAGGAUGUUUAGUAAUUCUAAAAGGGACUACAGGAUUAAAAACAAUAGUUUUGGCAGUUAAAGUUUGAGAUUCGAUAAUGUCGUAGAUCCGUUUGGUCAUCAGGUGUAACGAGCCACACCCAUGUCUAGCUAGAGUAGUGUGCUAGGCUCAUACUAGAGAAGAAACGGGGAACAAACUGAUGAAAGAAUGAUCAUACCGAGGGAAUUCACUCAGAACUAACAAGAAUGAUAACGUGCUCCGACUGGAGCGGUUUAGGAACUGCUGGAAGGCUCUAGGGGAAUAAAGAUGGAAUGACUUCUUAUUUUUAGGUCCGUAUGAUUUGAAAUACAUGCACACAAACCCCAAGAAAGCGUUCCGGGAAAUCUCGGCCCAAAGAAUGAUGUUUAGUAAUUCUAAAAGGGACUAUAGAAUGAAAAACAAUAGUUUUGGCAGUUAAAGUUUGAGAUUUGACGGUGUCGUAGAUCUGUUUGGUCAUCAGGUGUUACGAGCCACACCCAUUUCUAGCUAGAAUAGUGUGUUAGGCUCAGGCUAGAAAAGAAACGGGGAACAAAGUGAUGAAAGAAUGAUCAUACCGAGGGAAUUCACUCAGAACUAACAAGAAUGAUAACAUGCUCCGACUAGAGCGGUUUAGGAACUGCUGGAAGGCUCUAGGGGAAUAAAUAUGGAAUGACUUCUAAUUUUCAGGUCCGUAUGAUUUGAAAUACUUGCACACAAACCGCGCGAAAGCGUUCCUGGAAAUCUCAUCCCAAAGAAGGUCGUUUAGUAAUUCUAAAAGGGACUACAGGAUGAAAAACAAUAGUUUUGGCAAUUUAAGGUUUGAGAUUCGACGGUGCCGUAGAUCCGUUUGGUCAUCAGGUGUUACGAGCCACACCCAUGUCUAGCUAGAAUAGUGUGCUAGGCUCAGGCUAGAGAAGAAACAGGGAACAAACUGAUGAAAGAAUGAUCAAACCGAGGGAAUUCACUCAGAACUAACAAUAAUGAUAACGUUCUCCGUCUGGAGCGGUUUAGGAACUGCUGGAAGGCUCUAGGGGAAUAAAGAUGGAAUGACUUCUAAUUUUUAGGUCCGUAUGAUUUGAAAUACUUGCACACAAACCGCGCCAAAUCGUUCCUGGAAAUCUCAGCCCAAAAAAGGACGUUUAGUAAUUCUAAAAGGGACUACAGGAUGAAAAACAAUAGUUUUGGCAGUUAAAGUUUGAGAUUCGAUGGUGCCGUAGACCCGUUUGGUCAUCAGGUGUUACGAGCCACACCCAUGUCUAGCUAGAGUAGUGUGCUAGGUUCAGACUAGAGAAGAAACAGGGAACAAAGUGAUGAAAGAAUGAUCAUACCGAGGGAAUUCACUCAGAACUAACAAGAAUGAUAACGUGCUCCGACUGGAGCGGUUUAGGAACUGCUGGAAGGCUCUAGGGGAAUAAAGAUGGAAUGACUUCUAAUUUUUACGUCCGUAUGAUUUGAAAUACUUGCACACAAACCACGCAAAAGCGUUCCUGGAAAUCUCAGCCUAAAAAAGGACGUUUAGUAAUUCAAAAAGGGACUACAAAAUGAAAAACAAUAGUUUUGGCAGUUAAAGUUUGAGAUUCGAUGGUGCCGUAGAUCCGUUUGGUCAUCAGGUGUUACGAGCCACACCCAUGUCUAGCUAGGAUAGUGUGUUAGGCUCAGGCUAGAGAAGAAACGGGGAACAAACUGAUGAAAGAAUGAUCAUACCGAGGGAAUUCACUCAGAACUAACAAGGAUGAUAACAUGCUCCGACUAGAGCGGUUUAGGAACUGCUGGAAGGCUCUAGGGGAAUAAAGAUGGAAUGACUUCUAAUUUUUAGGUCCGUAUGAUUUGAAAUACUUGCACACAAACCGCAAGAAAGCGUUCCUGGAAAUCUCAGCCCAAAAAAGGACGUUUAGUAAUUCUAAAAGGGACUACAGGAUGAAAAACAAUAGUUCUGGCAGUUAAAGUUUGAGAUUCGAUAAUGCCGUAGAUCUGUUUGGUCAUCAGGUGUAACGAGCCACACCCAUGUCUAGCUAGAGUAGUGUGCUAGGCUCAGACUAGAGAAGAAACGGGGAACAAACUGAUGAAAGAAUGAUUAUACCGAGGGAAUUCACUCAGAACUAACGAGAAUGAUAACGUGCUCCGACUGGAGCGGUUUAGGAACUGCUGGAAGGCUCUAGGGGAAUAAAGAUGGAAUGACUUCAAAUUUUUAGGUCUGUAUGAUUUGAAAUACUUGCACACAAACCGCAAGAAAGCGUUCCUUGAAAUCUCAGCCCAAAAAAGGACGUUUAGUAAUUCUAAAAGGGACUACAGGAUGAAAAACAAUAGUUCUGGCAGUUAAAGUUUGAGAUUCGAUAAUGUCGUAGAUCCGUUUGGUCAUCAGGUGUAACGAGCCACACCCAUGUCUAGCUAGAGUAGUGUGCUAGGCUCAGAAUAGAGAAGAAACGGGGAACAAACUGAUGAAAGAAUGAUCAUACCGAGGGAAUUCACUCAGAACUAACAAGAAUGAUAACGUGCUCCGACUGGAGCGGUUUAGGAACUGCUGGAAGGCUCUAGGGGAAUAAAGAAGGAAUGACUUCUAAUUUUUAGGUCCGUAUGAUUUGAAAUACGUGCACACAAACCGCGCGAAAGCGUUCCUGGAAAUCUCAGCCAAAAAAAGGACGUUUAGUAUUCUAAAAGGGACUACAGAAUGAAAAACAAUAGUUUUGGCAGUUAAAGUUUGAGAUUCGACGGUGCUGUAGAUCCGUUUGGUCAUCAGGUGUUACGAGCCACACCCAUGUCUAGCUAGAAUAGUGUGCUAGGCUCAGGCUAGAGAAGAAAAGGGGAACAAACUAAUGAAAGAAUGAUCAAUCCGAGGGAAUUCACUCAGAACUAACAAUAAUGAUAACGUGCUCCGACUGGAGCGGUUUAGGAACUGCUGGAAGGCUCUAGGCGAAUAAAGAUGGAAUGACUUCUAAUUUUUACGUCCGUAUGAUUUGAAAUACUUGCACACAAACCACGCAAAAGCGUUCCUGGAAGUCUCGGCCUAAAAAGGACGUUUAGUAAUUCUAAAAGGGACUACAGGAUGAAAAAUAAUAGUUUGGGCAGUUAAAAUUUGAGAUUCGACGGUGCCGUAGAUCCAUUUGGUCAUCAAGUGUUACGAGCCACACCCAUGUCUAGCUAGAAUAGUGUGUUAGGCUCAGGCUAGAGAAGAAACGGGGAACAAACUGAUGAAAGAAUGAUCAUACCAAGGGAAUUCACUCAGAACUAACAAGAAUGAUAACGUGCUCCGACUGGAGCAGUUUAGAAACUGCUGGAAGGCUCUUGGGGAAUAAAGAUGGAAUGACUUCAAAUUUUUAGGUCCGUAUGAUUUGAAAUACUUGCACACAAACCACGCGAAAGCGUUCCUGGAAAUCUCAGCCCAAAAAAGGACGUUUAGUAAUUCUAAAAGGGACUACAUGAUGAAAAACAAUAGUUUUGGCAGUUAAAGUUUGAGAAUCGUCGGUGCCGUAGAUCCGUUUGGUCAUCAGCUGUAACGAGCCACACCCAUGUCUAGCUAGAGUAGUGUGCUAGGCUCAGACUAGAGAAGAAACAGGGAACAAAGUGAUGAAAGAAUGAUCAUACCGAGGGAAUUCACUUAGAACUAACAAGAAUGAUAACAUGCUCCGACUUGAGCGAUUUAGGAACUUCUGGAAGGCUCUAGGGGAAUAAAGAUGGAAUGACUCAAAUUUUUAGGCCCGUAUGAUUUGAAAUACAUGCACACAAACCGCGAGAAAGUGUUCCUGGAAAUCUUAGCCCAAAAAAGGACGUUUAGUAAUUCUAAAAGGGACUACAGGAUGAAAAACAAUAGUUUUGGUAGUUAAAGUUUCAGAUUCGAUAAUGCCCUAGAUCCGUUUGGUCAUCAGGUGUAACGAGCCACACCAAUGUCUAGCUAGAGUAGUGUGCUAGGCUCAGACUAGAUAAGAAACGGGGAAGAAACUGAUGAAAGAAUGAUCAGACCGAGGGAAUUCACUCAGAACUAACAAUAAUGAUAACGUGCUCCGAGUGGAGCGGUUUAGGAACUGCUGGAAGGCUCUAGGGGAAUAAAGAUGGAAUGACUUCUAAUUUUUAGGUCCGUAUGAUUUGAAAUACGUGCACACAAACCCCGAGAAACCGUUCCUUGAAAUCUCGGCCCAAAAAAGGACGUUUAGUAAUUCUAAAAGGGACUACAAAAUGAAAAACAAUAGUUUUGGCAGUUAAAGUUUGAGAUUCGACGGUGUCGUAGACCCGUUUGGUCUUCAGGUGUUACGAGCCACACCCAUGUCUAGCCAGAGUAGUGUGCUAGGUUCAGACUAGAGAAGAAACGGGGAACAAAGUGAUGAAAGAAUGAUCAUACCGAGGGAAUUCACUCAGAACUAACAAGAAUGAUAACGUGCUCCGACUGGAGCGGGUUAGGAACUCCUGGAAGGCUCUAGGGGAAUAAAGAUGGAAUGACUUCUAAUUUUUACGUCCGUAUGAUUUGAAAUACUUGCACACAAACCACGCAAAAGCGUUCCUGGAAAUCUCAGCCUAAAAAAGGACGUUUAGUAAUUCUAAAAGGGACUACAGGAUGAAAAAUAAUAGUUUGGUCAUCAGGUGUUACGAGCCACACCCAUGUCUAGCUAGAAUAGUGUGCUAGGCUCAGGCUAGAGAAGAAACGGGGAAUAAACUGAUGAAAGAAUGAUCAAACCGAGGGAAUUCACUCAGAACUAACAAUAAUGAUAACGUUCUCCGUCUGGAGCGGUUUAGGAACUGCUGGAAGGCUCUAGGGGAAUAAAGAUGGAAUGACUUCUAAUUUUUAGGUCCGUAUGAUACGAAAUACUUGCACACAAACCGCGCGAAAUCGUUCCUGGAAAUCUCAGCCCAAAAAAGGACGUUUAGUAAUUCUAAAAGGGACUACAGCAUGAAAAACAAUAGUUCUGGCAGUUAAAGUUUGAGAUUCGAUAAUGCCGUAGAUCCGUUUGGUCAUCAGGUGUAACGAGCCACACCCAUGUCUAGCUAGAGUAGUAUGCUAGGCUCAGACUAGAGAAGAAACGGGGAACAAACUGAUGAAAGAAUGAUUAUACCGAGGGAAUUCACUCAGAACUAACAAGAAUGAUAACGUGCUCCGGCUGGAGCGGUUUAGGAACUGCUAGAAGGCUCUAGGGGAAUAAAGAUGGAAUGACUUCAAAUUUUUAGGUCUGUAUGAUUUGAAAUACUUGCACACAAACCGCAAGAAAGCGUUCCUGGAAAUCUCAGCCCAAAAAAGGACGUUUAGUAAUUCUAAAAGGGACUAUAGGAUGAAAAACAAUAGUUCUGGUAGUUAAAGUUUGAGAUUCGAUAAUGUCAUAGAUCCGUUCGGUCAUCAGGUGUAACGAGCCACACCCAUGUCUAGCUAGAGUAGUGUGCUAGGCUCAGACUAGAGAAGAAACGGGGAACAAACUGAUGAAAGAAUGAUCAUACCGAGGGAAUUCACUCAGAACUAACAAGAAUGAUAACGUGCUCCGACUGGAGCGGUUUAGGAACUGCUGGAAGGCUCUAGGGGAAGAAAGAAGGAAUGACUUCUAAUUUUUAGGUCCGUAUGAUUUGAAAUACGUGCACACAAACCGCGCGAAAGCGUUCCUGGAAAUCUCAGCCCAAAAAAGGACGUUUAGUAUUCUAAAAGGGACUACAGAAUGAAAAACAAUAGUUUUGGCAGUUAAAGUUUGAGAUUCGACGGUGCCGUAGAUCCGUUUGGUCAUCAGGUGUUACGAGCCACACCCAUGUCUAGCUAGAAUAGUGUGCUAGGCUCAGGCUAGAGAAGAAAAGGGGAACAAACUGAUGAAAGAAUGAUCAAACCGAGGGAAUUCACUCAGAACUAACAAUAAUGAUAACGUGCUCCGACUGGAGCGGUUUAGGAACUGCUGGAAGGCUCUUGGCGAAUAAAGAUGGAAUGACUUCUAAUUUUUACGUCCGUAUGAUUUGAAAUACUUCCACACAAACCAGGCAAAGGCGUUCCUGGAAAUCUCGGCCUAAAAAGGACGUUUAGUAAUUCUAAAAGGGACUACAGGAUGAAAAAUAAUAGUUUGGGCAGUUAAAAUUUUAGAUUCGACGGUGCCGUAGAUCCGUUUGGUCAUCAGGUGUUACGAGCCACACCCAUGUCUAGCUAGAAUAGUGUGUUAGGCUCAGGCUAGAGAAGAAACGGGGAACAAACUGAUGAAAGAAUGAUCAUACCAAGGGAAUUCACUCAGAACUAACAAGAAUGAUAACGUGCUCCGACUGGAGCAGUUUAGAAACUACUGGAAGGCUCUAGGGGAAUAAAGAUGGAAUGACUUCAAAUUUUUAGGUCCGUAUGAUUUGAAAUACUUGCACACAAACCGCGCGAAAGCGUUCCUGGAAAUCUCAGCCCAAAAAAGGACGUUUAGUAAUUCUAAAAGGGACUACAUGAUGAAAAACAAUAGUUUUGGCAGUUAAAGUUUGAGAUUCGUCGGUGCCGUAGAUCCGUUUGGUCAUCAGCUGUAACGAGCCACACCCAUUUCUAGCUAGAGUAGUGUGCUAGGCUCAGACUAAAGAAGAAAUGGGGAACAAAGUGAUGAAAGAAUGCUCAUACCGAGGGAAUUCACUCAGAACUAACAAGAAUGAUAACAUGCUCCGACUUGAGCGAUUUAGGAACUUCUGGAAGGCUCUAGGGGAAUAAAGAUGGAAUGACUCAAAUUUUUAGGUCCGUAUGAUUUGAAAUACUUGCACACAAACCGCGAGAAAGCGUUCCUGGAAAUCUCAGCCCAAAAAAGGACGUUUAGUAAUUCUAAAAGGGACUACAUGAUGAAAAACAAUAGUUUUGGCAGUUAAAGUUUGAGAUUUGAUAAUGCCGUAGAUCCGUUUGGUCAUCAGGUGUAACGAGCCACACCCAUGUCUAGCUAGAGUAGUGUGCUAGGCUAAGACUAGAUAAGAAAAGGGGAAGAAACUUAUGAAAGAAUGAUCAGACCGAGGGAAUUCACUCAGAACUAACAAUAAUGAUAACGUGCUCCGACUGGAGCGGUUUAGGAACUGCUGGAAGGCUCUAGGGGAAUAAAGAUGGAAUGACUUCUAAUUUUUAGGUCCGUAUGAUUUGAAAUACGUGCACACAAACCCCGAGAAACCGUUCCUGGAAAUCUCGGCCCAAAAAAGGAUGUUUAGUAAUUCUAAAAGGGACUACAAAAUGAAAAACAAUAGUUUUGGCAGUUAAAGUUUGAGAUUUGAUGGUGCCGUAGAUCUGUUUGGUCAUCAGGUGUUACGAGCCACACCCAUGUCUAGCUAGAAUAGUGUGUUAGGCUCAGGCUAGAAAAGAAACGGGAAACAAAGUGAUGAAAGAAUGAUCAUACCGAGGGAAUUCACUCAGAACUAACAAGAAUGAUAACAUGCUCUGACUGGAGCGGUUUAGGAACUGCUGGAAGGCUCUAGGGGAAUAAAGAUGGAAUGACUUCUAAUGUUUAGGUCCGUAUGAUUUGAAAUACUUGCACAUAAACCGCGCAAAAGCGUUCCUGGAAAUCUCAGCCCAAAAAAGGACGUUUAGUAAUUCUAAAAGGGACUACAGGAUGAAAAACAAUAGUUUUGGCAGUUAAAGUUUGAGAUUCGACGGUGCCGUAGAUCCGUUUGUUCAUCAGGUGUUACGAGCCACACCCAUGUCUAGCUAGAAUAGUGUGUUAGGCUCAGGCUAGAGAAGAAACGGGGAACAAACUGAUGAAAGAAUGAUCAAACCGAGGGAAUUCACUCAGAACUAACAAUAAUGAUAACGUGCUCCGACUAGAGCGGUUUAGGAACUGCUGGAAGGCUCUAGGGGAAUAAAGAUGGAAUGACUUCUAAUUUUUAGGUCUGUAUGAUUUGAAAUACUUGCACGCAAACCGCGCGAAAGCGUUCCCGGAAAUAUCAGCCUAAAGAAGGACGUUUAGUAAUUCUAAAAGGGACUACAGGAUGAAAAACAAUAGUUUUGGCAGUUAAAGUUUGAGAUUCAACGGUGCCGUAGAUCCGUUUGGUCAUCAGGUGUUACGAGCCACACCCAUGUCUAGCUAGAGUAGUGUGCUAGGCUCAGGCUAGAGAAGAAACAGGGAACAAACUGAUGAAAGAAUGAUCAUACCGAGGGAAUUCACUCAGAACUGAUGAAAGAAUGAUCAAACCAAGGAAAUUCACUCAGAACUAACAAUAAUGAUAACAUGCUCCGACUGGAGCGGUUUAGGAACUGCUGGAAGGCUCUAGGGGAAUAAAGAUGGAAUGACUUCUAAUUUUUAGGUCCGUAUGAUUUGAAAUACGUGCACACAAACCCCGAGAAACCGUUCCUGGAAAUCUCGGCCCAAAAAAGGACGUUUAGUAAUUCUAAAAGGGACAACAAAAUGAAAAACAAUAGUUUUGGCAGUUAAAGUUUGAGAUUCGACGGUGCCGUAGACCCGUUUGGUCAUCAGGUGUUACGAGCCACACCCAUGUCUAGCUAGAGUAGUGUGCUAGGUUCAGACUAGAGAAGAAACGGGGAACAAAGUGAUGAAAGAAUGAUCAUACCGAGGGAAUUCACUCAGAACUAACAAGAAUGAUAACGUGCUCCGACUGGAGCGGGUUAGGAAUUGCUGGAAGGCUCUAGGGGAAUAAAGAUAGAAUGACUUCUAAUUUUUACGUCCGUAUGAUUUGAAAUACUUGCACACAAACCACGCAAAAGCGUUCCUAGAAAUCUCAGCCUAAAAAAGGACGUUUAGUAAUUCUAAAAGGGACUACAGGAUGAAAAAUAAUAGUUUGGCCAGUUAAAAUUUAAGAUUCGACGGUGCCGUAGAUCCGCUUGGUCAUCAGGUGUUACGAGCCACACCCAUGUCUAGCUAGAAUAGUGUGUUAGGCUCAGGCUAGAGAAGAAACGGGGAACAAACUGAUGAAAGAAUGAUCAUACCGAGGGAAUUCACUCAGAACUAACAAGAAUGAUAACAUGCUCCGACUGGAGCGGUUUAGGAACUGCUGGAAGGCUCUAGGGGAAUAAAGAUGGAAUGACUUCUAAUUUUUAGGUCCGUAUGAUUUGAAAUACUUGCACACAAACCGCAAGAAAGCGUUCCUGGAAAUCUCAGCACAAAAAAGGACGUUUAGUAAUUCUAAAAGGGACUACAGCAUGAAAAACAAUAGUUCUGGCAGUUAAAGUUUGAGAUUCGAUAAUGCCGUAGAUCCGUUUGGUCAUCAGGUGUAACGAGCCACACCCAUGUCUAGCUAGAGUAGUGUGCUAGGCUCAGACUAGAGAAGAAACGGGGAACAAAAUGAUGAAAGAAUGAUUAUACCGAGGGAAUUCACUCAGAACUAACAAGAAUGAUAACGUGCUCCGACUGGAGCGGUUUAGGAACUGCUGGAAGGCUCUAGGGGAAUAAAGAUGGAAUGACUUCAAAUUUUUAGGUCUGUAUGAUUUGAAAUACUUGCACACAAACCGCAAGAAAGCGUUCCUGGAAAUCUCAGCCCAAAAAUGGACGUUUAGUAAUUCUAAAAGGGACUAUAGGAUGAAAAACAAUAGUUCUGGCAGUUAAAGUUUGAGAUUCGAUAAUGUCGUAGAUCCGUUCGGUCAUCAGGUGUAACGAGCCACACCCAUGUCUAGCUAGAGUAGUGUGCUAGGCUCAGACUAGAGAAGAAACGGGGAACAAACUGAUGAAAGAAUGAUCAUACCGAGGGAAUUCACUCAGAACUAACAAGAAUGAUAACGUGCUCCGACUGGAGCGGUUUAGGAACUGCUGGAAGGCUCUAGGGGAAGAAAGAAGGAAUGACUUCUAAUUUUUAGGUCCGUAUGAUUUGAAAUACGUGCACACAAACCGCGCGAAAGCGUUCCUGGAAAUCUCAGCCCAAAAAAGGACGUUUAGUAUUCUAAAAGGGACUACAGAAUGAAAAACAAUAGUUUUGGCAGUUAAAGUUUGAGAUUCGACGGUGCCGUAGAUCCGUUUGGUCAUCAGGUGUUACGAGCCACACCCAUGUCUAGCUAGAAUAGUGUGCCAGGCUCAGGCUAGAGAAGAAAAGGGGAACAAACUGAUGAAAGAAUGAUCAAACCGAGGGAUUUCACUCAGAACUAACAAUAAUGAUAACGUGCUCCGACUGGAGCGGUUUAGGAACUGCUGGAAGGCUCUAGGCGAAUAAAGAUGGAAUGACUUCUAAUUUUUACGUCCGUAUGAUUUUAAAUACUUGCACACAAACCACGCAAAAGCGUUCCUGGAAAUCUCGGCCUAAAAAGGACGUUUAGUAAUUCUAAAAGGGACUACAGGAUGAAAAAUAAUAGUUUGGGCAGUUAAAAUUUGAGAUUCGACGGUGCCGUAGAUCCGUUUGGUCAUCAGGUGUUACGAGCCACACCCAUGUCUAGCUAGAAUAGUGUGUUAGGCUCAGGCUAGAGAAGAAACAGGGAACAAACUGAUGAAAGAAUGAUCAUACCAAGGGAAUUCACUCAGAACUAACAAGAAUGAUAACGUGCUCCGACUGGAGCAGUUUAGAAACUGCUGGAAGGCUCUAGGGGAAUAAAGAUGGGAUGACUUCAAAUUUUUAGGUCCGUAUGAUUUGAAAUACUUGCACACAAACCGCGCGAAAGCGUUCCUGGAAAUCGCAGCCCAAAAAAGGACGUUUAGUAAUUCUAAAAGGGACUACAUGAUGAAAAACAAUAGUUUUGGCAGUUAAAGUUUGAGAUUCGUCGGUGCCGUAGAUCCGUUUGGUCAUCAGCUGUAACGAGCCACACCCAUGUCUAGCUAGAGUAGUGUGCUAGGCUCAGACUAGAGAAGAAAUGGGGAAAAAAGUGAUGAAAGAAUGAUCAUACCGAGGGAAUUCACUCAGAACUAACAAGAAUGAUAACAUGCUCCGACAUGAGCGAUUUAGGAACUUCUGGAAGGCUCUAGGGGAAUAAAGAUGGAAUGACUCAAAUUUUUAGGUCCGUAUGAUUUGAAAUACUUGCACACAAACCGCGAGAAAGCGUUCCUGGAAAUCUCAGCCCAAAAAAGGACAUUUAGUAAUUCUAAAAGGGACUACAGGAUGAAAAACAAUAGUUUUGGCAGUUAAAGUUUGAGAUUUGAUAAUGCCGUAGAUCCGUUUGGUCAUCAGGUGUAACGAGCCACACCCAUGUCUAGCUAGAGUAGUGUGCUAGGCUAAGACUAGAUAAGAAACCGGGAAGAAACUAAUGAAAGAAUGAUCAGACCGAGGGAAUUCACUCAGAACUAACAAUAAUGAUAACGUGCUCCGACUGGAGCGGUUUAGGAACUGCUGGAAGGCUCUAGGGGAAUAAAGAUGAAAUGACUUCUAAUUUUUAGGUUCGUAUGAUUUGAAAUACAUGCACACAAACCCCGAGAAACCGUUCCUGGAAAUCUCGGCCCAAAAAAGGAUGUUUAGUAAUUCUAAAAGGGACUACAAAAUGAAAAACAAUAGUUUUGGUAGUUAAAGUUUGAGAUUUGAUGGUGCCAUAGAUCUGUUUGGUCAUCAGGUGUUACGAGCCACACCCAUGUCUAGCUAGAAUAGUGUGUUAGGCUCAGGCUAGAAAAGAAACGGGAAACAAAGUGAUGAAAGAAUGAUCAUACCGAGGGAAUUCACUCAGAACUAACAAGAAUGAUAACAUGCUCUGACUGGAGCGGUUUAGGAACUGCUGGAAGGCUCUAGGGGAAUAAAGAUGGAAUGACUUCUAAUGUUUAGGUCCGAGGUCCGUAUGAUUUGAAAUACUUGCACAUAAACCGUGCAAAAGCGUUCCUGGAAAUCUCAGCCCAAAAAAGGACGUUUAGUAAUUCUAAAAGGGACUACAGGAUGAAAAACAAUAGUUUUGGCAGUUAAAGUUUGAGAUUCGACGGUGCCGUAGAUCCGUUCGUUCAUCAGGUGUUACGAGCCACACCCAUGUCUAGCUAGAAUAGUGUGUUAGGCUCAGGCUAGAGAAGAAACGGGGAACAAACUGAUGAAAGAAUGAUCAAACCGAGGGAAUUCACUCAGAACUAACAAUAAUGAUAACGUGCUCCGACUAGAGCGGUUUAGGAACUGCUGGAAGGCUCUAGGGGAAUAAAGAUGGAAUGACUUCUAAUUUUUAGGUCUGUAUGAUUUGAAAUACUUGCACGCAAACCGCGCGAAAGCGUUCCCGGAAAUAUCAGCCCAAAAAAGGACGUUUAGUAAUUCUAAAAGGGACUACAGGAUGAAAAACAAUAGUUUUGGCAGUUAAAGUUUGAGAUUCAACGGUGCCGUAGAUCCGUUUGGUCAUCAGGUGUUACGAGCCACACCCAUGUCUAGCUAGAGUAGUGUGCUAGGCUCAGGCUAGAGAAGAAACAGGGAACAAACUGAUGAAAGAAUGAUCAUACCGAGGGAAUUCACUCAGAACUGAUGAAAGAAUGAUCAAACCGAGGAAAUUCACUCAGAACUAACAAUAAUGAUAACAUGCUCCGACUGGAGCGGUUUAGGAACUGCUGGAAGGCUCUAGGGGAAUAAAGAUGGAAUGACUUCUAAUUUUUAGGUCCGUAUGAUUUGAAAUACGGGCACACAAACCCCGAGAAACCGUUCCUGGAAAUCUCGGCCCGAAAAAGGACGUUUAGUAAUUCUAAAAGGGACUACAAAAUGAAAAACAAUAGUUUUGGCAGUUAAAGUUUGAGAUUCGACGGUGCCGUAGACCCGUUCGGUCAUCAGGUGUAACGAGCCACACCCAUGUCUAGCUAGAGUAGUGUGCUAGGCUCAGACUAGAGAAGAAACGGGGAACAAACUGAUGAAAGAAUGAUCAUACCGAGGGAAUUCACUCAGAACUAACAAGAAUGAUAACGUGCUCCGACUGGAGCGGUUUAGGAACUGCUAGAAGGCUCUAGGGGAAGAAAGAAGGAAUGACUUCUAAUUUUUAGGUCUGUAUGAUUUGAAAUACGUGCACACAAACCGCGCGAAAGCGUUCCUGGAAAUCUCAGCCCAAAAAAGGACGUUUAGUAUUCUAAAAGGGACUACAGAAUGAAAAACAAUAGUUUUAGCAGUUAAAGUUUGAGAUUCGACGGUGCCGUAGAUCCGUCUGGUCAUCAGGUGUUACGAGCCACACCCAUGUCUAGCUAGAAUAGUGUGCUAGGCUCAGGCUAGAGAAGAAAAGGGGAACAAACUGAUGAAAGAAUGAUCAAACCGAGGGAAUUCACUCAGAACUAACAAUAAUGAUAACGUGCUCCGACUGGAGCGGUUUAGGAACUGCUGGAAGGCUCUAGGCGAAUAAAGAUGGAAUGACUUCUAAUUUUUACGUCCGUAUGAUUUGAAAUACUUGCACACAAACCACGCAAAAGCGUUCCUGGAAAUCUCGGCCUAAAAAGGACGUUUAGUAAUUCUAAAAGGGACUACAGGAUGAAAAAUAAUAGUUUGGGCAGUUAAAAUUUGAGAUUCGACGGUGCCGUAGAUCCGUUUGGUCAUCAGGUGUUACGAGCCACACCCAUCUCUAGCUAGAAUAGUGUGUUAGGCUCAGGCUAGAGAAGAAACGGGGAACAAACUGAUGAAAGAAUGAUCAUACCAAGGGAAUUCACUCAGAACUAACAAGAAUGAUAACGUGCUCCGACUGGAGCAGUUUAGAAACUCCUGGAAGGCUCUAGGGGAGUAAAGAUGGAAUGACUUCAAAUUUUUAGGUCCGUAUGAUUUGAAAUACUUGCACACAAACCGCGCGAAAGCGUUCCUGGAAAUCUCAGCCCAAAAAAGGACGUUUAGUAAUUCUAAAAGGGACUACAUGAUGAAAAACAAUAGUUUUGGCAGUUAAAGUUUGAGAUUCGUCGGUGCCGUAGAUCCGUUUGGUCAUCAGCUGUAACGAGCCACACCCAUGUCUAGCUAGAGUAGUGUGCUAGGCUCAGACUAGAGAAGAAAUGGGGAACAAAGUGAUGAAAGAAUGAUCAUACCGAGGGAAUUCACUCAGAACUAACAAGAAUGAUAACAUGCUCCGACUUGAGCGAUUUAGGAACUUCUGGAAGGCUCUAGGGGAAUAAAGAUGGAAUGACUCAAAUUUUUAGGUCCGUAUGAUUUGAAAUACUUGCACACAAACCGCGAGAAAGCGUUCCUGGAAAUCUCAGCCCAAAAAAGGACGUUUAGUAAUUCUAAAAGGGACUACAGGAUGAAAAACAAUAGUUUUGGCAGUUAAAGUUUGAGAUUCGAUAAUGUCGUAGAUCCGUUUGGUCAUCAGGUGUAACGAGCCACACCCAUGCCUAGCUAGAGUAGUGUGCUAGGCUAAGACUAGAUAAGAAACGGGGAAGAAACUGAUGAAAGAAUGAUCAGACCGAGGGAAUUCACUCAGAACUAACAAUAAUGAUAACGUGCUCCGACUGGAGCGGUUUAGGAACUGCUAGAAGGCUCUAGGGGAAUAAAGAUGGAAUGACUUCUAAUUUUUAGGUCCGUAUGAUUUGAAAUACGUGCACACAAACCCCGAGAAACCGUUCCUGGAAAUCUCGGCCCAAAAAAGUAUGUUUAGUAAUUCUAAAAGGGACUACAAAAUGAAAAACAAUAGUUUUGGCAGUUAAAGUUUGAGAUUUGAUGGUGCCGUAGAUCUGUUAGGUCAUCAGGUGUUACGAGCCACACCCAUGUCUAGCUAGAAUAGUGUGUUAGGCUCAGGCUAGAAAAGAAACGGGAAACAAAGUGAUGAAAGAAUGAUCAUACCGAGGGAAUUCACUCAGAACUAACAAGAAUGAUAACAUGCUCUGACUGGAGCGGUUUAGGAACUGCUGGAAGGCUCUAGGGGAAUAAAGAUGGAAUGACUUCUAAUGUUUAGGUCCGUAUGAUUUGAAAUACUUGCACAUAAACCGCGCAAAAGCGUUCCUGGAAAUCUCAGCCCAAAAAGGACGUUUAGUAAUUCUAGAAGGGACUACAGGAUGAAAAACAAUAGUUUUGGCAGUUAAAGUUUGAGAUUCGACGGUGCCGUAGAUCCGUUUGUUCAUCAGGUGUUACGAGCCACACCCAUGUCUAGCUAGAAUAGUGUGUUAGGCUCAGGCUAGAGAAGAAACGGGGAACAAACUGAUGAAAGAAUGAUCAAACCGAGGGAAUUCACUCAGAACUAACAAUAAUGAUAACGUGCUCCGACUAGAGCGGUUUAGGAACUGCUGGAAGGCUCUAGGGGAAUAAAGAUGGAAUGACUUCUAAUUUUUAGGUCUGUAUGAUUUGAAAUACUUGCACGCAAACCGCGCGAAAGCAUUCCCGGAAAUAUCAGCCCAAAAAAGGACGUUUAGUAAUUCUAAAAGGGACUACAGGAUGAAAAAGAAUAGUUUUGGCAGUUAAAGUUUGAGAUUCAACGGUGCCGUAGAUCCGUUUGGUCAUCAGGUGUUACAAGCCACACCCAUGUCUAGCUAGAGUAGUGUGCUAGGCUCAGGCUAGAGAAG
rnacentral:lncRNA from 1 species